CGCGUAUCGAAGAUGGCGGCACUUAACAGAGGCGGAGGGGUCUGCGGAUAGAGAGCCGCGGAGGAGCGGCAGAGAGUCCCGAAGCUGCUCGAGAGCCGCCGCUGGCCCCCGGGUUUCACCCGAGAAACGUCGCGCGUCGUCUGCCUCCUGGCACGGACCAGGAGAGAAAACGCCUUGGAGGAAUCGAAACCGCCCAAAAUUCGAGGUGGUGAUGGGCUGUCCUUCUCUCCUUUAAUAACAAGAAUUGACGAUCAGUAUAGAGAAAGAAAAUCAGAUACUAACAUAUAUAUAUAUAUAUAUCAUUAUAAAUGUUCUACAUAUAAACCUUCAUCUUUAUACUCCGAAUUCACUACCACCACUACUACUACCACUACUACUACUACUACUACUACCACCACCUACCACUACUGCAGUGUCGGGAGCGAAUCGUAUAUAAAUAUAUUCGCAUAUUUGAGAAAAUAGGGCUCGCCUGCGAGAGAGAGAGAGAGAGAGAGAGAAAAAAAAAACCUCAUCCGAAACCGCACGCGAUUCGCUUCAGUUUCUAUCUAGUCAAAAUAAUCGCCA
rnacentral:misc_RNA from 1 species